GACGAACGCUGGCGGCGUGCUUAACACAUGCAAGUCGUACGGUAAGGCCCUUUCGGGGGUACCCGAGUGGCGAACGGGUGCGUAACACGUGAGUAACCUGCCCACAACUUUGGGAUAACGCUAGGAAACUGGUGCUAAUACUGGAUAUGUGCUCCUGCUGCAUGGUGGGGGUUGGAAAGCUCCGGCGGUUGUGGAUGGACUCGCGGCCUAUCAGCUUGUUGGUGGGGUAGUGGCCUACCAAGGCGGCGACGGGUAGCCGGCCUGAGAGGGUGACCGGCCACAUUGGGACUGAGAUACGGCCCAGACUCCUACGGGAGGCAGCAGUGGGGAAUAUUGCACAAUGGGCGCAAGCCUGAUGCAGCAACGCCGCGUGCGGGAUGACGGCCUUCGGGUUGUAAACCGCUUUCAGCAGGGACGAAGCUUUUUGUGACGGUACCUGCAGAAGAAGCACCGGCUAACUACGUG
rnacentral:rRNA from 1 species